AUGCAGUGUGGAGACGAGGGAAAAAGGUCCGGGAAAGCUCAGACUUUAUUAUAUUCGCAUCACCGGGAGACCUUGUUAAGGUGCAGAUUCUGGUCUUCGGGUCGGAGAGUCUGCAUUUCUAAUGAAUUCCAGAUGAGGCCAAAGCUGCUGUUCCCCCGGCUACACAGAGCAACGAGGGGUACCCAGCCUGCUCACCUAACGGCGCUUAGAAAGUGGUGCAUGUCUAUAAUCCCAGCACUUAGAAAGCUGAGGCAGGAGGAUCGCCACAAGUUCGAGGCCAGCCUGGGCUACAAAAUGAGACCCUGUCUUGCAACCACUGUGGAAGUCAGUAUGGAGAUACCUCAAAGAACUAGGACUGGAAGUCUCAUUUGACCCAGCUAUCACCCUGUCUUCCCCAAAGAAUUAAAAGAAUCAUACCACAGUGAUAUAUGUGCACCCAUGUUCAUAGCAGCACAGUUUGUAAUAGCUAAAGCUUGGAAACAGCACAAGUGUCCAUCAACUGGAAACUGGAUAAAGAAGAUGUGUUUUUUCUUAUAACAUGGAGUACUACUCAGCCAUAAAAAAUGAGAAAUUAGAGACAUUUAUAGCUAAAUGGAUGCACAAUUGAGGCAAUAAGUGAAAUAAAUAGAACACUCGGGCUGGGGAUUUAGCUCAGUGGUUUCGCCGCCUGCUGCGCAAGGGUAAGGACCAGAGUUUGAUCCCUGGUACCAAAUAAAUAAAUAAAUAAAUAAAUAGGACACACAUGUGUAAAUACCGAAUAGUUUCUCUAGUGUGAGGAACUGAAAGUGUAAAUAAGGAUUAAAAAGUAUAAUAGAUAAUGUGAAAUAGGAAGAAAAGGGGCAAAGGGGAAGGGGAAGUGGGAGGGGUAAGGGAAAGGAAAGAAGGGAAUGGAAUUAAUGAGAAAAUGGAAACAGUCUUUGUAAAUACGGAGGGAUGGAGGAGUUGAAGGGAGGGCAGGGG
rnacentral:lncRNA from 1 species